AUGAAGCAUUCCUUCAGAGGCAAAGCUCUGUAUGAAACAUUGACAACUGGGCAAAUUCGGGGAUCAAACAACGAGCAUUCCAUGGUCCUGCUUGAGCUCAAUGCUGAAGUGCAUUCCUGGUUCUCUUUGGUUUUAGAGACACUGCUGCAGAUUGCCAGCUAUGGUUGGAAAGCAGUUGAGGUAGCAGAGGAGAGAAGAAUCCUACCCAUAUGGGGAGGUAAAAUCUGAAGCCCUGAGUUUGAGAGGGACACUGCAGAGUGAAUGUGAGUGGAAGCCUACCUCCAGAAUGGAAGAGCUUGUGGUGUUGGGGUUGUUCCAGGUUUAUGACAACACUUAAGUAUGACCUGGAGGCCUUCCCUUAACUACUGAACUGGAUAUCUCCACAUCUCAAAGAGAGGAGGAGUUACAGUCACUGCGUUAUUAAUGGAAAGCUGGAGCUCAGCCUUGUGGCAAGUUUUGGAAGGUCCUUGAAGUGUGAAUGACCUUCUCAUCCCUCACCAAGAUAAGCCAGGAGGUCUGUGACGGCACUGAGUAGAGAUUCCAGCCCUGUGAAAUCCUGGUGAACUAAUCCAUCUGCUUGCCCGAAUCCCUCCUACCUUCUUCAGAUGGUUGGAGCAAAGAACACAUCAAAGAUGUAGACAUGUCUUUCAUCAACUGAAUACCAGCAGCCAGGUUAUCUGAAGUCAUUUUCUGUCUGCCUUCCACUGGGGAGAAAGUGCCUUCAGGGUAUCUCGUUGUGUACCCUGAAAGUACACAGCAAAACAACUCUGGAGUAAACAGAGGCAAACCCAGCACCCCCCAUCCUCCUCACUGGGACAUGCUGUAUGCACAAUAAACCCCCACUGUGAUCUCUUGCCAAGAAUAACACAGACAGUCUAUUAAAACAUCUUUAAUACCAUGAUAUAAUUUAAAAUAUCUAAUGUGCAACUCCAAGAAAAGAAUAUGAAGCUCAUUUAAAUCUCUUUCCACACCCCUCCAAA